UUCUUGGUGAAGAGCUCCAGACCAUAGUAGCUGCCCGUAUAGCACUAUGCAUCAGUUGCUUCUCUGCAACUGCAAAUGUCCAUCCUUGUAUGAUAGGUUUGCUAUGGGAUGUAAAUGCCCAUUUGCACCGGCUUGAUUCAGCUUUGUGUUCCAUUUUAAACGGUUCUCCGAGGGGC
rfam:Triticum aestivum genome assembly, contig: Triticum_aestivum_CS42_TGACv1_scaffold_603288_7DL